AGAGUUUGAUCCUGGCUCAGGAUGAACGCUAGCUACAGGCUUAACACAUGCAAGUCGCGGGGCAGCAUGAAGUCAGCUUGCUGACUUUGAUGGCGACCGGCGCACGGGUGAGUAACGCGUAUCCAACCUGCCUGUUACCACGGCACAGCCCGUCGAAAGGCGGAUUAAUGCCGUAUGUGGUCCUUUGCGGGCAUCUAAUUAGGACUAAAGGUUCAGCGGUAACGGAUGGGGAUGCGUCCGAUUAGCUAGACGGCGGGGUAACGGCCCACCGUGGCGACGAUCGGUAGGGGUUCUGAGAGGAAGGUCCCCCACACUGGAACUGAGACACGGUCCAGACUCCUACGGGAGGCAGCAGUGAGGAAUAUUGGUCAAUGGGCGUAAGCCUGAACCAGCCAAGUAGCGUGAGGGAAGACUGCCCUAUGGGUUGUAAACCUCUUUUGUGCGGGGAUAAAGUGUGGGACGUGUCCCAUAUUGCAGGUACCGCACGAAUAAGGACCGGCUAAUUCCGUGCCAGCAGCCGCGGUAAUACGGAAGGUCCGGGCGUUAUCCGGAUUUAUUGGGUUUAAAGGGAGCGCAGGCCGUCCUUUAAGCGUGCUGUGAAAUGCCGCGGCUCAACCGUGGCACUGCAGCGCGAACUGGAGGACUUGAGUACGCACGAGGUAGGCGGAAUUCGUGGUGUAGCGGUGAAAUGCUUAGAUAUCACGAAGAACUCCGAUUGCGAAGGCAGCUUACCGGAGCGCAACUGACGCUGAGGCUCGAAAGCGCGGGUAUCGAACAGGAUUAGAUACCCUGGUAGUCCGCGCGGUAAACGAUGGAUGCCCGCCGUUGGGUUUUAGAAUUCAGCGGCCAAGCGAAAGCGUUAAGCAUCCCACCUGGGGAGUACGCCGGCAACGGUGAAACUCAAAGGAAUUGACGGGGGCCCGCACAAGCGGAGGAACAUGU
rnacentral:rRNA from 1 species